UGCAUGAAAUGAGAAAUGGCCAGAUAUGCGA
rnacentral:piRNA from 1 species